rnacentral:tRNA from 1 species
AUUAUUUUAGCAAAUUAGUGCAUUGGAUUUAGAAUCUAAAGAUAUAAUUUAAAUUAUAGAUAAUA